AAAGAAACCAUAAAGAAAAGCUUCUAACUUUUCAAAAAGCAACUAAUGUUUAU
rnacentral:tRNA from 1 species